UACGUAGGGUGCAAGCGUUAAUCGGAAUUACUGGGCGUAAAGCGUGCGCAGGCGGUGAUGUAAGACAGAUGUGAAAUCCCCGGGCUCAACCUGGGAACUGCAUUUGUGACUGCAUCGCUGGAGUGCGGCAGAGGGGGAUGGAAUUCCGCGUGUAGCAGUGAAAUGCGUAGAUAUGCGGAGGAACACCGAUGGCGAAGGCAGCCCCCUGGGCUAACACUGACGCUGAGGCACGAAAGCGUGGGGAGCAAACAGG
rnacentral:rRNA from 1 species